rnacentral:lncRNA from 1 species
CACAACAAAACUUUAGCUGCUACUUCAACUGACCAGUUCCAGCUCAAUGCAAACCCCAGGACAUGCUAGCACUCUGAGCUGAUGGUGACGGGCUAAUGGCACUUUCCUCGAAGCUGCUCUGAAACCAAGAUAAAGUCUGAAACGGAGGUAAAAUGGUGGAGUUAGUUUCCAUUGGCUGAUCCCUAUCUAUAUCACUUUCUCCAGCUAAGCUCCAAGUUGGUCUAUUGAGUUGGCAUAGUUACUUUUUUCCAGGAUGAAGCCUCUCUAUUGGUUGAGAUACUUUGUUUUCAUUAAUAAACUUUAAUUAGUUCUUUAAUUUGUUGACAUUGAUUCAUUAAAGCUUAACAUCUGUUGCACAUGAAAAGAUCCGGUUUGCGUUGUAGAAAAAGGCUGACAUUGUGAUCUUUCACUAUCAGGAGUAAAUAUAUGUAGUGAACCUUGAGUGGUUA